GUUGCCACAUCUACAGAUUUAUUUUUUGACCAGUCAAAGUAAAAGCCAAACUGAGAGACUCCUGAUUGGACGAAAGGAAACCAUGGAGGAAACUAGCACG